rnacentral:rRNA from 1 species
UACGGGGGGAGCAAGCGUUGUUCGGAUUUACUGGGCGUAAAGGGCGCGUAGGCGGUCAGCACAGGUCAGUUGUGAAAUCUCCGGGCUUAACUCGGAAAGGUCGACUGAUACUGUGCGACUAGAGUGCGGAAGGGGCAACUGGAAUUCCAGGUGUAGCGGUGAAAUGCGUAGAUAUCUGGAGGAAUACCGGUGGCGAAGGCGGCAUCCUGGACCGACAUUGACGCUGAUGAGCGAAAGCUAGGGGAGCAAACGGG